rnacentral:rRNA from 1 species
CGGCCGCGUCGACUCCAGCCACACCUGCCUCUGGGUCUUCCUUGAACACACAUACUCUCCUGCCCUCCUGCUAUUUGCACUGGGAGGCUCCUCUGCCUGGAGACGGACCCCCCCAGACAUGCUUGUGGACAUUCUUUCAUGUCCUUCACAUCUUUACUCAAAGGAAUUGACGGGGGCCCGCACAAGCGGUGGAGUAUGUGGUUU